rnacentral:rRNA from 1 species
CCUACGGGAGGCAGCAGUAGGGAAUAUUGCUCAAUGGGGGAAACCCUGAAGCAGCAACGCCGCGUGGAGGAUGAAGGUUUUCGGAUUGUUAACUCCUUUUGUUAGAGAAGAUAAUGACGGUAUCUAACGAAUAAGCACCGGCUAACUCCGUGCCAGCAGCCGCGGUAAUACGGAGGGUGCAAGCGUUACUCGGAAUCACUGGGCGUAAAGAGGGCGUAGGCGGGAUAGCAAGUCAGAGGUGAAAUCCUGUGGCUUAACAAUAGAGCUGCAUUUGAAACUGUAAGUCUAGCGUAUGGGUGAAGUAGGUGGAAUUCGUAGUGUAGCGGUAAAAUCCAUAGAGAUUAAGAGGAACACUGAUUGCGAAGGCGACCUGCUAGAACAUAUCUGACGCUGAUGCGCGAAAGCGUGGGGAGCAAACAGGAUUAGAUACCCCUGUAGUC